rnacentral:lncRNA from 1 species
GCCGGGGGCCACUCCUGCGUGGUGCGAGUGGGAACGCGCGCGCGCGCCUGGGUGUGUGUUGUUAGCUGAUAUCCAUGGCAGCUGCAGUGGCAGGGUGCGUGUGCGUGUGUGUGUGUGUGUGUGUGUGUACUAGUUCUACUGUACUGGCAGACGGGAGGAGGCAGGGGAGGAGGGGCGCGCGCGCCGGGUGGGGAGCCACGGAGGGCUUCGCCGCUGCCUCCCUCCCUCCCUCCGCAGCUUGACCCGGUAGUGAAGGCAGAGAGAGAGGCAGGCUGGGUCCGCCUGGCAGCCUACGGGAGGAGGCGGGAGCCGGGAAGGAGGGGAGCCUAGGCCCGGCGUGGGGAGGCCGGCAGGAAGGGCCUCGAGCCCAGUGCGGACCUUUCUUCAGCCUCUGUGCGACCGAGCCGCGCGCCAGGCUCCUGUGCGAGGAGGACGCGCUGACUCCCUCCGACCUGGGCUCCGAUGGAGCAGAAAUAGCGGGACCUGGACUUGUGGCGCGCCUGGUGCCACAUCUCGGGCUCUGCGAGCGUCCUGGCGCGGGAUCCUGCCGUUUGCAUCCAAGAGAGGGGAGGACAGGGGCAAAAGGAUGCAGGGAGGCUGCUGAUUUCCACUGAAGAGCUAAUUUCCUGUGAGACAUUAACAGUGAUUUAAGAAAAAGAUUCCUGUAACUGUAAUGUCUUACAAUAACAGAAUGCAGGAGAGCACAUAUCAAUGAAGAAAAGACAAAAUGUACUUAUCCAUGAAGCUGAGGUUAAGAAACCAGUGUCUUCAAGAGCCAGGGACAGCACUGGGUCUGUGCAGAGUUGAGAGAUGGUGAUGACAUGGUGAGACACAAAUUCAGUCUAUUUCAUAGUUUGUGGUCA